AAGACCUUGCGCUUUUGGAGCGGCCGAUGUCUGAUUAGCUUGUUGGUAAGGUAAAAGCUUACCAAGGCUUCGAUCAGUAGCUGGUCUGAGAGGACGACCAGCCACACUGGGACUGAGACACGGCCCAGACUCCUACGGGAGGCAGCAGUGGGGAAUUUUGGACAAUGGGGGCAACCCUGAUCCAGCCAUGCCGCGUGAGUGAAGAAGGCCUUCGGGUUGUAAAGCUCUUUCAGCCGGAAAGAAACGGUUACGGUUAACACCCGCGAUUACUGACGGUACCGGAAGAAGAAGCACCGGCUAACUACGUGCCAGCAGCCGCGGUAAUACGUAGGGUGCGAGCGUUAAUCGGAAUUACUGGGCGUAAAGCGUGCGCAGGUGGUUUUGUAAGUCAGAUGUGAAAGCCCCGGGCUCAACCUGGGAACU
rnacentral:rRNA from 1 species